AAGCCUCUGAUACUUUAAUUUCUUACCAGUUUGGCAUUAUCUAUUUCAUUUCAGCCACUCUGAUGGUUGUAUAUAAAUACAGUAUGUUACUUUUGAUUUGCAUUUUUUGAUGACUAAUGAUGAGUUGCAUUACUUUAUCUUAUUAAUUUGAAAGAGAUCCUUAUACAUUACAAUUAAGAAUUCUGUAUCAUAUAUAUGAAUAUAUAGUGAACAGCACCUCCCACUCUAUGGGUUGCCCUUUCACCAUGAAGUAUACCUUGAGGAACAGAAGUUCUUCUGGGAGACAAAAACCAAUGGAUGUGUGAAGUAUUGGAGUGAUGUUAACAGGAGCCCUGAGUGCACUGACUGUCCGCCUUGCAGUCCCACACUGUCGGCCUAGAGACCAGAGGAAGGAUCUAGGAGCAGGGAGAGAUCUGUGGCUCCUCUUUGUAUUCCCUCUAAUGAAGGUGUGAAGGUUAGAGGAAAAAUACUGUUACCCAGGUCAUUGAAAAUACCACAGGUUUAUUAACUGUAUAAUGGCAAUUGAAUUACCUUUCCUGGAAUUAAAGAAUCCAGGCUUUCAGCCAUAUCUGCCUGUUCCCAAACUUGGAAUUCAGAAGACAAGGCGCUCAGCAUGACUCACUGAUAUAUGUUUCACUGCCAGUUAGUGUCAACGGACUAUCUUGUGUUCGAACAAGAACAUGAUAUUCUUAAUAUCUUAAAUUUAUAUGUCUUAUAAUUGUUUUAUGUGUUUUAUGAAAACGAAGUUUAAUGCAUGAGUUUAGAAAACUAAAAUGAGCAGAAAUGCCCAUGAAACUUAUCAAUUAUCAUUCGAUAAUAAUCAAAUCUUCACAAAGUUCUAAAAUCUUUAUUAGAAUAGGCUAAAUUUAACAUCAUCCCGCAGUGGAAAGAGCUCUGGAAUAGGAGACAGAUUAAUAUGUUACUUUAGGAACUGUAGUCUCUGCCUUAGCUAACAUUUUUGUGGUUUUUCAGUUUCUCAUGUGUAAAAUGAAAGUAGAAAUGGUCUUACAGGCUCUUCUAGUUAUUACACAUUUUAUUUAAAUGCUCUAAACACAAAAUAUCUGAAUAUUCUUAUUUUAAUGGUCCUUCAAUUGAAUGUCUAAAAAAACAAAUUCACUUGACUGGCAGGAAAAGCUUGAUUUAGGUGACAUUGUUGGAAAUGUGUCCUUUCUACCUCUGUAAGUACUGAGGUUUACACUGGUUCUAUAGGUCAUUAAGUGCUGGCAUCUAAUAAACUAUCUGAAAAUAAGAGCUGAAUUAUUUACUGUUGAUUUUAUAAAUAUAAUAGAAUGAGUCCUUGAAAUAUAUAGACUAGGUGUAUAUAUUUGUGUUGUUAUUAUUGAAAACAUUUAUACAACAAGAUUCAGGGAGGGCUUCAAGGGUGAUUCCUGUUAAUCUAAAAUAAAUAAUAACAUGAUCAGCCUCUGAAAAUUAAUAUUAGUUAAUUAGAAACCUGAAAAGAUUCAUGCACAAUGGCCAUUAUAUAGCACUUUAUAUUUAACUGGAUAUAUAGAAUUUCGAUUGAGUUUGAAAUUAUAAAAAAGAAAUCACUUUUGAAAUUUAGAAAUCAAAAUCCAAUGUUAGUAAUUAGUUAAAAUUAUCAACAAUUUCUUGAGCCAACAUGCUUGGGGAAUUGCAAGAAAAUGCAAAGGAGAAGAAAUAUCCCUUACCAAAGUCAAAGAUUAGGAAAAUGAAAGACACAGUUAUUUUAUUUUUGUCUUUUUGUAAUUUACACCUCUAACAUUAGAUUGAAAAGCUGCAUUACAGACACCUGCUUCAGUAGAGUCAUUGUUUCCAUGGUGCCACUUUCCAUCACCUAUUUUUAAUAGUUUACACAACAAGAUCAAGGGUGUCCCAGCUGUUACUGCCACUGUUGCUUAGCAACCUUUAAAUCAGAGUUCAAGAAGACAAAGAAUCAUGCUUGAAAAAUUUCUCAACUGUCUGUUUUAUGCACCCACGCCCCUGCUUUCUUCAUUUUGCACCAUUUUUCACUGUUUAUACUCGGAUGCUCUGGUUUUUUUCCAUUAAUUCAAUAUUCUAUAUAUGAAUUCACAACUCCGAGUGCUACUGGAAUCAACUAAAUAUUUUUGUUGAUUUUCAAAAGGUAAUAUAUAUGUUCAACUACAGGCUACCUCCAAUAGAAAAUAAACAGAUUUAAAAUAUUUACUUUAUUUUAUUCAUCAGAAUGGGAGGUUGUUUCAGGUCUUCAUUAUCUGCUGCCAGACUAUAACAUUGCUGUGCCUGAGAGUCUGGUGAAAUGACACACAGAUCAAUGGCCAGAGAUUCACUGCCUGCAGAGAAUUACAAUACCCCCUUGUGCAUUCUGAAAUCUAAAUAUUAUCAUCCACAAAGGACAGAGAAGUCAAAAAUCUGUAAGAAAACAGAGAAGUUAGCGAACUUUGAACUUGGAAUACCUGACUGAGACAGGUUGAUAUCAAUUAAUAAAAACAGAAAAUAUUUUCUAAUAUUUCUGUAAACAAUGAGAGUUUUUUUCCUCAAUAGUAAUUGUUCAGAAACCAAUGGCCCAUCUGUCUAAUUAAUAGAUUAGUAAGCACAAAUCAACAAUGUGGAACGUACAUAAAAAUAGAAAAAAAUCUUAAUUUUGCAUUUGAUAUCUGUAAUAAGAUAGGAACUCUCAAAUCAUAACCAAAUAUUCCUGAAUAAUCCAUAUAAUAAGAGGAAUAUAAUGAUAGGAUUCAUGGCUGGAGAUUUUAUUAACCUGUAUAUGUGUGAGCAACUGUUUACCAUACAUCUCUCACAGAGUUGAUCCAGGUGGGUUUUACCCCUUUGGUUAGAAUGAACGUUCUGUUCCAUAACAUACAUGCCCAAUGACAUGGUCCACACUGACCCAAUUAUUUAAACUCUUGGAUUUUCCUUUGACCCUCUAUUAAAUAAACACAAACCUAUCAUAUUAUUAUUUUUUAAUUUUCAGGUUUGAUCAUUACAUUAUUAUUUUCUGGCCCUUUUCUAAAUUCUGCUAAAUCCUUAGGUAUCUGUUUGUUGUUUGCUGUUGUUUCCAAAUCACUA
rnacentral:lncRNA from 1 species